AUCCCCAAUGCCUGAUAGCGGAAUUUCGGAUAGUAUGGACUAUAACACCCCUUCUGAGUAAGAAACAGACGAAAACACAUUACCGAUAUCCCAUUAGAAAGAACAGGCUUGGAAAAAGGGACAAAUAUUAUUGCUUUUAUGGCUUCUAGGGAAGAAAAUCUAUCACAUUACUUUCAUCAAUGCAGCCUCAUUCUCCGACACAACCUACGGCAGUAAUCAUACCGCAGCUUUGGAAACAAGAUUUGCAAAUAGCAAGGUGGCUAUUACAAGAAUUGAUAAGGUUAUCUGAACACACGCAGUCUAUUUGCAAUGAAGAGGGAUACCUUCGCGGAGAACUUUCUACAAGAAACUGGCUCUUAUUCAGGUUACACACAGGGAAAACCACGAAAACCCC